rnacentral:rRNA from 1 species
AGGGCACCACCAGGAGUGGAGCCUGCGGCUUAAUUUGACUCAACACGGGAAAUCUCACCAGGCCGGGACAAUAGAAGGAUUGACAGAUUGAGAGCUCUUUCUUGAUUUAUUGGGUGGUGGUGCAUGGCCGUUCUUAGUUGGUGGAGCGAUUUGUCUGGUUAAUUCCGAUAACGAACGAGACUCUGGCCUACUAACUAGACGUUGGAUCUCUUUGUGGGUCCAUCGCAGCUUCUUAGAGGGACGGGCGGCGUUUAGCCGCACGAGAAUGAGCAAUAACAGGUCUGUGAUGCCCUUAGAUGUUCUGGGCUGCACGCGCGCUACACUGAAGGAAUCAGCGUGUGUACCCUGCCCGAAAAGGCUGGGAAACCCGUUGAACCUCCUUCGUGAUGGGGAUUGGGGAUUGCAAUUAUUCCCCAUGAACGAGGAAUUCCCAGUAGGCGCGAGUCAUAAGCUUGCGUCGAUUACGUCCCUGCCCUUUGUACACACCGCCCGUCGCUACUACCGAUCGAGUGAUUUAGU